rnacentral:rRNA from 1 species
AAGCCUGAUGCAGCAACGCCGCGUGAGGGACGAAGGCCUAUCGGGUUGUAAACCUCUUUUAGUAGGGAAGAAGCGAAAGUGACGGUACCUGCAGAAAAAGCACCGGCUAACUACGUGCCAGCAGCCGCGGUAAUACGUAGGGUGCAAGCGUUGUCCGGAAUUAUUGGGCGUAAAGAGCUCGUAGGCGGUUUGUCGCGUCUGCUGUGAAAACUGGAGGCUCAACCUCCAGCCUGCAGUGGGUACGGGCAGACUAGAGUGCGGUAGGGGAGAUUGGAAUUCCUGGUGUAGCGGUGGAAUGCGCAGAUAUCAGGAGGAACACCGAUGGCGAAGGCAGAUCUCUGGGCCGUAACUGACGCUGAGGAGCGAAAGCAUGGGGAGCGAACAGGAUUAGAUACCCUGGUAGUCCAUGCCGUAAACGUUGGGAACUAGAUGUAGGGGCCAUUCCACGGUUUCUGUGUCGCAGCUAACGCAUUAAGUUCCCCGCCUGGGGAGUACGGCCGCAAGGCUAAAACUCAAAGGAAUUGACGGGGGCCCGCACAAGCGGCGGAGCAUGCGGAUUAAUUCGAUGCAACGCGAAGAACCUUACCAAGGCUUGACAUAUACCGGAAACGGCUAGAGAUAGUCGCCCCGCAAGGUC